AUUGUCUUCUGAUGGUUGCCUUAUCCAAAAUACAGGUUUAGCUAUCUGAGUAGGGAGUACAAAUAUUUCUUUUGGGAAGACAAUCUAAAUCUCAAGGCAAUGGAAAGCUCUGGUGAGAAAUUUAUAGCUAAGCAAAUUAACCUCACAACAAAGACAAGUGCACAAUGGAAUGGAUGAUGAAUUGGAGGGUGGAGCAAGCUUCAUGGUUUACUUUUUGUGUAUCUUGUUAUGUUUCUGGUUUUUACUUUUGAAGCAAAAGAUGUGAAGACUAUAGAAUUUUAUUAUGUAUGCUUUCAAACUCAAGUUAGAACUAAGAACUUUUGAAGUGGACAGUGUCAUCAUGGUUUGAAGUAGUUUGUCUUCAAAUGUAAAAAUACUCAUGGUUUAUCAUAUAUAUUGAAUAUUUUAGAUUUUUUGAUCUA